rnacentral:rRNA from 1 species
UACGUAGGGAGCAAGCGUUGUUCGGAUUUACUGGGCGUAAAGGGCGCGUAGGCGGCAAAUUAAGUCAGCUGUGAAAUCUCCGAGCUUAACUCGGAACUGUCAGCUGAUACUGAUCUGCUAGAGUGCGGAAGGGGCAAUCGGAAUUCUUGGUGUAGCGGUGAAAUGCGUAGAUAUCGGGAGGAACACCUGUGGCGAAAGCGGCGCACUGGACCACAACUGACGCUGAGGCGCGAAAGCUAGGGGAGCAAACAGG